UACGUAGGCAGCAAGUGUUGCUCGGAAUUACUGGGCGUAAAGAGUGUGUAGGCGGUGUUCUAAGUCUGUUGUGAAAUCUCCCGGCUUAACUGGGAGGGUGCGGCGGAAACUGGAAUGCUAGAGGAUGGGAGAGGUAAGCGGAAUUCCUGGUGUAGCGGUGAAAUGCGUAGAUAUCAGGAGGAACACCUGUGGUGUAGACAGCUUACUGGACCAUUUCUGACGCUGAGACACGAAAGCGUGGGUAGCAAACAGG
rnacentral:rRNA from 1 species